AGUGGCGGACGGGUGAGUAACGCGUAAGAAUCUAACUUCAGGACGGGGACAACAGUUGGAAACGACUGCUAAUACCCGAUGUGCCGCAAGGUGAAAACUAAUUGGCCUGAAGAAGAGCUUGCGUCUGAUUAGCUAGUUGGUGGGGUAAGAGCCUACCAUGGCGACGAUCUGUAGCUGGUCUGAGAGGAUGAUCAGCCACACUGGGACUGAGACACGGCCCAGACUCCUACGGGAGGCAGCAGUGGGGAAUUUUGGACAAUGGGGGCAGCCCUGAUCCAGCCAUUCCGCGUGAGUGAAGAAGGCCUUCGGGUUGUAAAGCUCUUUUGUCGGGGACGAAACGGUUUUGGUUAAUACCUAAGACUACUGACGGUACCCGAAGAAUAAGCACCGGCUAACUACGUGCCAGCAGCCGCGGUAAUACGUAGGGUGCAAGCGUUAAUCGGAAUUACUGGGCGUAAAGCGUGCGCAGGCGGUUUUGUAAGCCAGAUGUGAAAUCCCCGGGCUUAACCUGGGAAUGGCAUUUGGGACUGCAAGGCUAGAGUACGGCAGAGGAGACUAGAAUUCCUGGUGUAGCAGUGAAAUGCGUAGAUAUCAGGAGGAAUACCGAUGGCGAAGGCAGGUCUCUGGGCUGAUACUGACGCUCAUGCACGAAAGCGUGGGGAGCAAACAGGAUUAGAUACCCUG
rnacentral:rRNA from 1 species